UACGAAGGGGGCUAGCGUUGCUCGGAAUUACUGGGCGUAAAGGGUUCGUAGGCGGUGUGGCAAGUCGGGAGUGAAAUCUCUGGGCUCAACCCAGAGACUGCUUCCGAAACUGCUGUGCUUGAGUGUGAGAGAGGCUCGUGGAAUUGCAGGUGUAGCGGUGAAAUGCGUAGAUAUCUGCAGGAACACCCGUGGCGAAAGCGGCGAGCUGGAUCACUACUGACGCUGAAGAACGAAAGCUAGGGGAGCAAACAGG
rnacentral:rRNA from 1 species